UACAGAGGGUGCAAGCGUUGUCCGGAAUUAUUGGGCGUAAAGGGCUCGUAGGCGGUCUGUUGCGUCGGGAGUGAAAACUCAGGGCUUAACCCUGAGCCUGCUUCCGAUACGGGCAGACUAGAGGUAUGCAGGGGAGAACGGAAUUCCUGGUGUAGCGGUGAAAUGCGCAGAUAUCAGGAGGAACACCGGUGGCGAAGGCGGUUCUCUGGGCAUUUCCUGACGCUGAGGCACGAAAGCCAGGGGAGCAAACGGG
rnacentral:rRNA from 1 species